AAGGUGCGCGUUGUGCGGAAAAACAAUCCUGCUCCGAGUUCCGUGGCUGCAUCUCCUGUCAAAGCCAGCUCUUCAACCAGUCACCCUUCGCAGCAGUUUGUGCACCAAAUUGCACCGAGGUCACCUGCGUCACCUGAGAAAGUUUUCCACAUUUCCCGACAGGGAGACCAGCUGCAUUACAGCAUCCAGUCCAGUGAUGUCAGCGUAGCGCCAACUAUCUGCACAUUGGGCGAC